UCGAUUCCCUUAGUAGCGGCGAGCGAAACGGGAAGAGCCCAAACCAACAAGCUUGCUUGUUGGGGUUGUAGGACACUCUAUACGGAGUUACAAAGGACGACAUUAGACGAAUCAUCUGGAAAGAUGAAUCAAAGAAGGUAAUAAUCCUGUAGUCGAAAAUGUUGUCUCUCUUGAGUGGAUCCUGAGUACGACGGAGCACGUGAAAUUCCGUCGGAAUCUGGGAGGACCAUCUCCUAAGGCUAAAUACUCUCUAGUGACCGAUAGUGAACCAGUACCGUGAGGGAAAGGUGAAAAGCACCCCGGAAGGGGAGUGAAAUAGAACCUGAAACCGUGUGCUUACAAGUAGUCAGAGCCCGUUAAUGGGUGAUGGCGUGCCUUUUGUAGAAUGAACCGGCGAGUUACGAUUUGAUGCAAGGUUAAGCAGUAAAUGUGGAGCCGUAGCGAAAGCGAGUCUGAAUAGGGCGUUUAGUAUUUGGUCGUAGACCCGAAACCAGGUGAUCUACCCUUGGUCAGGUUGAAGUUCAGGUAACACUGAAUGGAGGACCGAACCGACUUACGUUGAAAAGUGAGCGGAUGAACUGAGGGUAGCGGAGAAAUUCCAAUCGAACCUGGAGAUAGCUGGUUCUCUCCGAAAUAGCUUUAGGGCUAGCCUCAAGUGAUGAUUAUUGGAGGUAGAGCACUGUUUGGACGAGGGGCCCCUCUCGGGUUACCGAAUUCAGACAAACUCCGAAUGCCAAUUAAUUUAACUUGGGAGUCAGAACAUGGGUGAUAAGGUCCGUGUUCGAAAGGGAAACAGCCCAGACCACCAGCUAAGGUCCCAAAAUAUAUGUUAAGUGGAAAAGGAUGUGGCGUUGCCCAGACAACUAGGAUGUUGGCUUAGAAGCAGCCAUCAUUUAAAGAGUGCGUAAUAGCUCACUAGUCGAGUGACACUGCGCCGAAAAUGUACCGGGGCUAAACAUAUUACCGAAGCUGUGGAUUGUCCUUUGGACAAUGGUAGGAGAGCGUUCUAAGGGCGUUGAAGCAUGAUCGUAAGGACAUGUGGAGCGCUUAGAAGUGAGAAUGCCGGUGUGAGUAGCGAAAGACGGGUGAGAAUCCCGUCCACCGAUUGACUAAGGUUUCCAGAGGAAGGCUCGUCCGCUCUGGGUUAGUCGGGUCCUAAGCUGAGGCCGACAGGCGUAGGCGAUGGAUAACAGGUUGAUAUUCCUGUACCACCUAUAAUCGUUUUAAUCGAUGGGGGGACGCAGUAGGAUAGGCGAAGCGUGCGAUUGGAUUGCACGUCUAAGCAGUAAGGCUGAGUAUUAGGCAAAUCCGGUACUCGUUAAGGCUGAGCUGUGAUGGGGAGAAGACAUUGUGUCUUCGAGUCGUUGAUUUCACACUGCCGAGAAAAGCCUCUAGAUAGAAAAUAGGUGCCCGUACCGCAAACCGACACAGGUAGUCAAGAUGAGAAUUCUAAGGUGAGCGAGCGAACUCUCGUUAAGGAACUCGGCAAAAUGACCCCGUAACUUCGGGAGAAGGGGUGCUCUUUAGGGUUAACGCCCAGAAGAGCCGCAGUGAAUAGGCCCAAGCGACUGUUUAUCAA
rnacentral:rRNA from 1 species